rnacentral:rRNA from 1 species
CCUACGGGUGGCUGCAGUGGGGAAUAUUGGGCAAUGGGCGCACGCCUGACCCAGCAACGCCGCGUGAAGGAAGAAGGCUUUCGGGUUGUACACCUCUUUUUUUGAGGACGAAACAAUUGACGGUACUCAAUGAAUAAGCCACGUCUAACUACGUGCCAGCAGCCGCGGGAAUACGUAGGUGGCGAGCGUUAAUAGGAUUUACUGGGGGUAAAGCGCUCGUAGGCGUUAUGUGAAAGCAAGGGUGAAAUUCCCGCGCUCAACGUGGGAACUGGCUUUGAAACUGGCAAACUGGAGUGUGUGAGAGGAUAGUGGAAUUCCAGGGGUAGGAGUGAAAUCCGUAGAUAUCUGGAGGAACAUCAGUGGCGAAGGCGACUAACUGGCACAUAACUGACGCUGAGGAGCGAAAGCGUGGGUAGCAAACAGGAUUAGAUACCCCGGUAGUC